GACGAACGCUGGCGGCGUGCUUAACACAUGCAAGUCGAACGGAAAGGCCCUGCUUUUGUGGGGUGCUCGAGUGGCGAACGGGUGAGUAACACGUGAGUAACCUGCCCUUGACUUUGGGAUAACUUCAGGGAACUGGGGCUAAUACCGGAUAGGAGCUCCUGCUGCAUGGUGGGGGUUGGAAAGUUUCGGCGGUUGGGGAUGGACUCGCGGCUUAUCAGCUUGUUGGGGGGGUAGUGGCUUACCAAGGCUUUGACGGGUAGCCGGCCUGAGAGGGUGACCGGCCACAUUGGGACUGAGAUACGGCCCAGACUCCUACGGGAGGCAGCAGUGGGGAAUAUUGCACAAUGGGCGGAAGCCUGAUGCAGCAACGCCGCGUGCGGGAUGACGGCCUUCGGGUUGUAAACCGCUUUCGCCUGUGACGAAGCGUGAGUGACGGUAAUGGGUAAAGAAGCACCGGCUAACUACGUG
rnacentral:rRNA from 1 species